UCCUUGGCCAGACUUUUCUCACAUCUUAUCUCAAUUAUUUAAAGAACUCCCAGUGGGUCUGCAGAUUUUAAUCCUGACCCAGUCUCUACGUAGCUGCUGGUGGUAGAGAUGUACUCAUGGGAAGUGAAUCAAGAUAGUAAAAAUCCUAACUCUUGACGUGUAGUAAAUGCCUGAGGAAUUGAAAUGCACUGGAUUAGAGAAUCCAAGAUGGUGGAGGAGUGGGAAACCUUCACUUCAUCUGGUACCAGGAAUUCAGAUCAUCCUGAACAUCUGUGAACUCAACCGGAGAUCUAAGAAAAGAAUAGCUGCAAUUCUACAAAUAGAAAAGUGACCCCUUUCUGGAAGCUAGAAGAACCCUCUAGCAGUGAGGAGAGAACGGAUGUCGCCGGGCAGCUGUGACAUCAGCUGAAAGGAAGAGCCAAGGUCGCUCGGGCAUCUUAGGAAGACUCUGCCUUAAAGACUGAUAAUUAUGGUGUCCUUUCUGAUCCUGCACAAGAUUUGUCCGAUGUGUCCGAGUGGAUUAGAGUGGAGAGUGGAAGCAGAAAAGGAGCCAAGGACAAGACGCAAGAAAUAAAGAAGAGCAGGACAUGCCAGGACAGGGAGAUUUCCUCCAGUCCCUCUGUUUAUAAGUCCCACCAGUGCCAUUGGGGGGGAUUAAAAGUAAUACGUGUGCAUGCUAUUUGCAGCUUUUGCAUGUAUGAUUUAUACUUAUGGUAACAGUUGAAUAAAUAGUGUAUAUUUCACUUUAUAGUGUGAUUUAGCUGUUCCUAAUAAGCCUGUCUUGUUUAUAUACGAUCCCAGAUUAAAUGCAACAUACAGGUCUAACAAAGGACGUGGAUCUGGGAUGUACUGAGAACAUUUAAAACCCAAUUACAAGACGGCAAAAACGGUCCAGUUUAUUAAAAUGGGAAAAGAUCUGAGCACACUUUACCGAAGAAGAAACACAGUUGGCAAAAAAAGGACAUGAAAAGAUGCUCCGCGUAACCAGUCAUUUGGAAAAUGCAAAUCAAGAUCACCGGGAGAAAUCACCACGCAUAUGGGAGCAGCUAACCUUUCAAAAACGAACCAUACCAAGUGCCGGCAAGGAUGGGGGAAACUGGAGCUCUCCCUGGCUUUCUUAAACGUUAACAACACCCCCACUGUAAGGUCCAGCCAUUUCACUUCUAGGUGUUUCCAUAUUCAAGAGGAAUAAAAUCGCCCGUCCACUCACAGACUUAAGCGUGAAUAUUCAUAGCAGCUUUACUGUACUAGCCCCAAACUGGAAACAAAUGUCCU